rnacentral:rRNA from 1 species
CUGCGAAUGGCUCAUUAAAUCAGUUAUCGUUUACUUGAUAGACCCAUACUACUUGGAUAACCGUGGUAAUUCUAGAGCUAAUACAUGCGAAAAACCGCGACUUCGGAAGCGGUGUAUUUAUUAGAUUAAAGACCAAUGCCCUUCGGGGCUGACUGGUGAUUCAUGAUAACUUCACGAAUCGCACGGCCUUGCGCCGGCGAUGGCUCAUUCAAAUUUCUGCCCUAUCAACUUUCGACUUUAGUGUAGUGGACUAAAGUGGUUGCAACGGGUAACGGAGGGUUAGGGCUCGACCCCGGAGAAGGAGCCUGAGAGACGGCUACUACAUCCAAGGAAGGCAGCAGGCGCGCAAAUUACCCAAUCCCGACUCGGGGAGGUAGUGACAAUAAAUACUGAUACAGGGCUCUUUUGGGUCUUGUAAUUGGAAUGAGUACAAUUUAAAUCUCUUAACGAGGAACAAUUGGAGGGCAAGUCUGGUGGACAAAUCCAGUCCCGUGCUGGCGCCAGCAAGAGCGGGGGGCCCCUGCGGGCCUUCUUUCCCGCUAGUCGAGCACCCGUUCCAUGACGGGAGGGUGCCGGCGAGACAACCUGGAUCGGGGGAGGCUAAGAGGCGCCGCCAGGCGUCUUACGUUGAUCCCGAGCAGAGCACCCGAGGAGCGAUCUUCGGGCUGCCUGUGUAGAGCGCGCAAAGGUGUCGGUCGCUCUCCCCCUCGGGGGAGGCGGCUUAAGGGACGUGCCAUCCGCCUCGAAAGAGGAUUUCCUAUCUCCAGCGCCCGUCACGCUAAGGAUAGGAAGCUGCCGGCUUGCACCGGCAGUGGGAGAUCAAUACGGCCAGCAGCCGCGGUAAUUCCAGCUCCAAUAGCGUAUAUUAAAGUUGUUGUGGUUAAAAAGCUCGUAGUUGAACCUGGGCCUCGCGCAGACCGGUCCGCCUCACCGCGUGCACUGGUCCUGCCGGGGCUUUCACUAGGGGAUUCGCAUGUCCUUCACUGGGCGUGUGCGGAACCUGGACUUUUACUGUGAAAAAAUUAGAGUGUUCAAAGCAGGCCUAUGCUCGAAUACAUUAGCAUGGAAUAAUAGAAUAGGACGUGUGGUUCUAUUUUGUUGGUUAUGGGACCGCCGUAAUGAUUAAUAGGGACAGUCGGGGGCAUCAGUAUUCAAUAGUCAGAGGUGAAAUUCUUGGAUUUAUUGAAGACUAACUACUGCGAAAGCAUUUGCCAAGGAUGUUUUCAUUAAUCAGGAACGAAAGUUAGGGGAUCGAAGACGAUCAGAUACCGUCGUAGUCUUAACCAUAAACUAUGCCGACUAGGGAUCGGGCGAUGUUACUUUUUGACUCGCUCGGCACCUUACGAGAAAUCAAAGUC